GUUAAAGUCGAAACCAAUUGAUCAUCGAUAUUCUCACGUUUAUCGCAUCUGUGGUCUUUCCAUGACUGUUUUCGACACAGUCGUACAUAGUACGCCAUCGUUUAAUCGAAUAAUAUUGCUGUUAAUGUGUGGUUUGUGUAUAUGUAUAAAUAUAGCGUGUUAAAAUAAUUCUCCAUCCAUCCAGCCAUCCAUCAGUGAUUCGGUGUUCGUCUGUGUAUGUCUGUGUGUAACAUGACAUUUGAAAGUAGCUACUAGUUUAUUUUGCCACAUUAACACAGUAAACAGAUACCGAUUUUAUGUUAACAUGCAUGAAGCGCACAUUCAUGUGGCAUCACGUGACGUAGUUUUGUAUGUUAUGUAUCAUGUACUUCCGGUGAGGUUUUGUAACAAUGAUUGUGCGCUUAUGUAAUUAUUCACAGCUGCACAAUAAAGACUGGGUUUGUUCGUUAACUGCAGCGGAUCUCAUUAUUUACAGUAAGAACAACAUAAAUUCAUUCACAUCCAUCAUGUUUACUGAUUGUUUCUGUACAGAUAGAUGAUUCAUAACUUAGUUCAGUGUUUCAAAUCUGCAAUGAUAAACAAAGUUUACGUCAACAUACUCUUCUAGUUAGUAUAAGUCAGGGCCCGACCACAAUAUAUAUGACUGAGGUCAGGCGAGCCAUCUCUGAAGCGCUGUGGGGAAUGUGUGCAGCGGAUGCCAUGUCGAUGCCCGUCCACUGGUACUACAACACACAAGAAAUCAGGAGGGACUUCAGUGGCUGGAUCACUGGAUUCACUGCACCGCGGUGCAGACACCCGUCCAGCAUCCUAAGCCUGUCCAGCACAGCUGGCAGUGGACGCAGAGCCGGAUCAACCGGAACCGCAGCUCCUGUGGUGGGGAACGUGAUUCUGCAUGAUAAGCUGAAGUUCUGGACGGAUCCACGUGGAUCAGUGCACUACCAUCAGGGUCUUCACGCGGGUGGAAACACGCUGAACACUCUCUGUGCUCUGAGAGUUGCACGCAUUCUGUCCACUGGUGCUUUUGUUAGUAUGGCUGAUCCUGAAGCACGAGCCGCUGUACUGUCGGAUUACAUAGAGUUCAUGACGCGUCCCGGCGCACACAACGACACAUACGCCGAGUCUUUCCAUAGAAGCUUCUUCUCUGACUGGCAGGAACUCAGACCUACGUCCUCUAGAGAGGUUCUGGAGUUUGCGGAGCAGCGCUCCAAAUGCAUGUUGAGCACAUCCCGUGCUGAUAGCCAGCUGAAUGCUAUAGGAUGUCUUCCCAUGGCCAUUCCCUUUGUCCUGCUGUCUGCCACAGCCAAUGAGGAGAAAGCAGUUUCUGCAGCGGUGGAGUUUGUAAAGCUCACUCAUCCUCAUCCAGCACUGGAGCCGCUGGUGUCUCUGUACAUGCGAGCGCUUCACGCCACACUGAACGGAGCAUGUCUGAAACAACAGGCGGAGAUGGCGCUCAAAUCACCCGUGCUGGACACCUGGGACGUGUGUCAACACUUUAUACAGUGUGCAGAGAGGUCAGCAACUCAUAUUACACCACAAAAAACAUUAGAAAAAACAAUGACCUAUUUAUUACAAACAGAAAACUUUAGGACCAUUAAGACCUUAUGCAUUGUGAUAUUAUUCUCAUGA
ensembl:lncRNA